ACACAUGCAAGUCGAACGAGAAUCUACUGAAAGAGUUUUCGGACAAUGGAAGUAGAGGAAAGUGGCGGACGGGUGAGUAACGCGUGAGGAACCUGCCUUGAAGAGGGGGACAACAGUUGGAAACGACUGCUAAUACCGCAUGAAGCAUAGGGGUCGCAUGAUCUUUAUGCCAAAGAUUUAUCGCUUCAAGAUGGCCUCGCGUCUGAUUAGCUAGUUGGCGGGGUAACGGCCCACCAAGGCGACGAUCAGUAGCCGGACUGAGAGGUUGAACGGCCACAUUGGGACUGAGAUACGGCCCAGACUCCUACGGGAGGCAGCAGUGGGGAAUAUUGGGCAAUGGGCGCAAGCCUGACCCAGCAACGCCGCGUGAAGGAAGAAGGCUUUCGGGUUGUAAACUUCUUUUAAGAGGGAAGAGCAGAAGACGGUACCUCUAGAAUAAGCCACGGCUAACUACGUGCCAGCAGCUGCGGUAAUACGUAGGUGGCAAGCGUUGUCCGGAUUUACUGGGUGUAAAGGGCGUGCAGCCGGGUCUGCAAGUCAGAUGUGAAAUCCAUGGGCUCAACCCAUGAACUGCAUUUGAAACUGUAGAUCUUGAGUGUCGGAGGGGCAAUCGGAAUUCCUAGUGUAGCGGUGAAAUGCGUAGAUAUUAGGAGGAACACCAGUGGCGAAGGCGGAUUGCUGGACGAUAACUGACGGUGAGGCGCGAAAGUGUGGGGAGCAAACAGGAUUAGAUACCCUGGUAGUCCACACUGUAAACGAUGAAUACUAGGUGUGCGGGGACUGACCCCCUGCGUGCCGCAGUAAACACA
rnacentral:rRNA from 1 species